CCUCAGUGCCUGACAAAUUGUAGACACUUAGAAUAUGUCUCUCAACUAAUCCUGAUAGGUUUCUCACAGUAAUCUCAAGGCGAUCCAGGCAAAACACAAGCUUUCUUUAAGCCUUUGACGAAGACCACUCAAGCAAAAUGGGUGUUUUAAUUAGCACAUUGUGCUGAACAGUUCAUGUUUGCACACAAGUGAAAAGGGAUUUACACAGAAGAAAGGAGGAAAUCUCCUGCACAGGUUUUCUAGCCAUGAAGAAAUAAAGAUAGUAGCAAUAUUUGUGGUAGCCAGAAUGGUACUCCAAAGAAGUCCAUGGCCAACUCCUGGAAUUGGAAUAUGUAAGUUUACAGAUAUAAUUAAGGUUACUAACCUUAAAAUAGAGAGAUUUUCCUGUAUUAUCUGGACGGCCAAAUCUAAUCACAGGAGUCCUUAAAAGCAGAGAAUGCCCUCCAGCUGGAGGCAAGAGGAAGGUGGAAUAAGAAGUCACAGAGGUUCGAAUCAGGAGAGAGACUCAACCUGCCAUGUUUAGAACUCCUUGGAAAGCAUGAAAAGAAUGCAGGUGGCUUCUAGGAGCAAAUACCAGUCCUUGGCUGACAACCAGUAAGGUAACAAAGACCUGAGUUCUACAACUGCAAGAAACUGAAUUCAAGAAUUAAACUGAAUGAGCUUGGAAGCAGAUUUCUCCUCAGAGGUGCCAAUAAGGAAUACUGCUCUGCCAACACCUGGAGUUAGGCUUUGUUAAACUUUAGCAAAAGAUCCAGUCAUGCCCACUCAGGCAUCUGACCAACAGAAAUUGUGGUACAAUAAAUUUGUGUUGUCUUAAUCUACUAAAUUUGUGGUAAAUUGUUACGGCAGCAAAGAA
rnacentral:lncRNA from 1 species